AGCUAAUAGAUACCCCGGUAGUCCGCACAGUAAACGAUGAUAACUAGUUGUUUGCGAUAUACAGUAAAGCGACCAAAGCGAAAAAGCGAUAAGUUAUCCACCUGGGGAGUACGCCCGCAAGGGUGAAACUCAAAGGAAUUGACGGGGGCCCGCACAAGCGGAGGAGCAUGUGGUUUAAAUUCGAUGAUACGCGAGGAACCUUACCAGGGCUUGAAAGUUAAGGAAUGAUUAUGAAAGUAGUCAGUCAGCAAUGACCUAAAACUAGGUGCUGCAUGGCUGUCGUCAGCUCGUGCCGUGAGGUGUUGGGUUAAGUCCCGCAACGAGCGCAACCCU
rnacentral:rRNA from 1 species